AGUGAACGCUGGCGGUAGGCCUAACACAUGCAAGUCGAACGGCAGCACAGUAAGAGCUUGCUCUUACGGGUGGCGAGUGGCGGACGGGUGAGGAAUACAUCGGAAUCUACUUUUUCGUGGGGGAUAACGUAGGGAAACUUACGCUAAUACCGCAUACGACCUACGGGUGAAAGAAGGGGAUCUUCGGACCUUGCGCGAUUGAAUGAGCCGAUGUCGGAUUAGCUAGUUGGCGGGGUAAAGGCCCACCAAGGCGACGAUCCGUAGCUGGUCUGAGAGGAUGAUCCGCCACACUGGAACUGAGACACGGUCCAGACUCCUACGGGAGGCAGCAGUGGGGAAUAUUGGACAAUGGGCGCAAGCCUGAUCCAGCCAUACCGCGUGGGUGAAGAAGGCCUUCGGGUUGUAAAGCCCUUUUGUUGGGAAAGAAAAGCAGCAGGUUAAUACCCCGCUGUUCUGACGGUACCCAAAGAAUAAGCACCGGCUAACUUCGUG
rnacentral:rRNA from 1 species